AACGAACGCUGGCGGCAUGCCUAACACAUGCAAGUCGAACGAAGGCUUCGGCCUUAGUGGCGCACGGGUGCGUAACGCGUGGGAAUCUGCCCUUUGGUUCGGAAUAACAGCUGGAAACGGCUGCUAAUACCGGAUGAUGACGAAAGUCCAAAGAUUUAUCGCCAGAGGAUGAGCCCGCGUUGGAUUAGGUAGUUGGUGGGGUAAAGGCCUACCAAGCCGGCGAUCCAUAGCUGGUCUGAGAGGAUGAUCAGCCACACUGGGACUGAGACACGGCCCAGACUCCUACGGGAGGCAGCAGUGGGGAAUAUUGGACAAUGGGCGCAAGCCUGAUCCAGCAAUGCCGCGUGAGUGAUGAAGGCCCUAGGGUUGUAAAGCUCUUUUACCCGGGAAGAUAAUGACUGUACCGGGAGAAUAAGCCCCGGCUAACUCCGUG
rnacentral:rRNA from 1 species